rnacentral:rRNA from 1 species
UACGUAGGGUGCGAGCGUUAAUCGGAAUUACUGGGCGUAAAGCGUGCGCAGGCGGUCGUGUAAGACAGGUGUGAAAUCCCCGGGCUUAACCUGGGAACUGCAUUUGUGACUGCACGGCUGGAGUGCGGCAGAGGGGGACGGAAUUCCGCGUGUAGCAGUGAAAUGCGUAGAUAUGCGGAGGAACACCGAUGGCGAAGGCAAUCCCCUGGGCCUGCACUGACGCUCAUGCACGAAAGCGUGGGGAGCAAACAGG